CCGCUUACCCAGGGGCGCCCUCCGAACGCAUGCGAGAAGGGCUGAGAUCGCAAUCGUGCGAGUCCCUUAGAACCUGAUCCGGUUAAAACCGGCGUAGGGAGAGGCCAGUGAACAAGC
rnacentral:ncRNA from 2 species